CAAAGUAUAACUUAAUUAAAGUAUUUCGCUUACACCGAAAAAACAUCAGUGAAACCCUGAUUUCUUUGA
rnacentral:tRNA from 1 species